rnacentral:tRNA from 1 species
GCCCUGCUAGCUCAAUCGGUAGAGCGUGAGACUCUUAAUCUCAAGGUUGUGGGUUCGAAACCCAUGUGGGGCU